AUUCCCUUAGUAAUGGCGAAUGAAACGGGAAGAGCCCAUCGUCGAAUCGCAAGUCAUUCAGGCUUUGCGAAAUGUGACGUUUGGGAGGGUCUUCCACGGCUCGGACGAUCAGUCAAAGUCCAACUUGACAGUGGCCACAGCCCAUAGAGGGUGAUAGGCCCGUAAGGCGGUUGUCCGGCUGUGCUGACCUCUCUCUAGAGUCGGAUUGCUUGGGAGUGCAGUCCAAAGUGCGAGGUAAACUCCUCGUAAGGCUAAAUAUAACCCCGAGACCGAUAGCAAACAAGUACAGUGAUGGAAAAUUGAAAAGAACUUUGAAGAGAGAGUUAAGAGUACGUGAAACUGUGUGGUGGUAAACGGAGGCGUUCUCGAAGUGUCCGUGGGGGAUUCAAGCUUGGUGGCGGGCAGCCGGUGCGCUCUGAUCAGCAAUGACUGGGCGUGCCGUGUCGGCCUGUCUCCCGGCCGCACUUUCCCCGCGGUUUACGGCAGGAACCGUUGGGACCGGACCAAAGGCCUGGGAUGAAGUUGCCGGCCCUUACGGGCUUGUAGCUCCCGGUGUCCUGGCUUCGGGCCCGACGGGAUUCGAGUGGACUUGUAUAGCAAGCGACAGCCUGUUGCGGUUCACGUCUCUCUGCCGAGUAGGUCGGUGGCGCCUCCNANNCGUCUUGAAACNNGGACCAAGGAGUCUAACAUGNAUGCGAGCCAUUGNNNUNACUAAACCUA
rnacentral:rRNA from 1 species